UCGCACGUACUCUACGAUCCCCGUCCCUAUCGUCAUAAAGCAAGUAUGCGUCUGAUAAACCGAGAGAUGCCAAAGUUUCAUGAAGGAGUUCCACAAAAAACCGUGUCAACCCAAUUUUUGGUUCUCCUUUAGUCAAGAAAAAACGAUAUCUUCUCAAAUAACUCCAAUGGCCAUAACCCAUCCCUCCCCUUCCCCUUUUCCCCUUGCCUUAGUACUAGUGCUACCAAUCAGGUUGAGCAAUCCUUAAGGAUUCACAGGCGCGACUUAAUAGCGCGUUCCUCUCCUUGUGGUUGACUGUUUCCAUCGAGCUUUGUAUGACCAAGGGCCAGAGUGUCCCUCUGACAUCUCUAAAUUCCGAAGACAAUUUCCGCCUAUCCCCUUGUAUCAUUACAAUGGUAUACAAUUGUUGCCAAUGGAUAGCGAGCAAAGAUCAAUGCGAUUGAGAGGAUGUCCACCC
rnacentral:sRNA from 2 species